UACGUAGGGUCCGAGCGUUGUCCGGAAUUACUGGGCGUAACGAGCUCGUAGGUGGUUUGUCGCGUUGUUCGUGAAAACUCACAGCUUAACUGUGGGCGUGCGGGCGAUACGGGCAGACUAGAGUACUGCAGGGGAGACUGGAAUUCCUGGUGUAGCGGUGGAAUGCGCAGAUAUCAGGAGGAACACCGGUGGCGAAGGCGGGUCUCUGGGCAGUAACUGACGCUGAGGAGCGAAAGCGUGGGGAGCGAACAGG
rnacentral:rRNA from 1 species